rnacentral:rRNA from 1 species
UACGUAGGGGGCAAGCGUUGUCCGGAAUUAUUGGGCGUAAAGAGCGUGUAGGCGGUCCGAUAAGUCGGAUGUGAAAUCUCCACGCUCAACGUGGAGGGGCCAUUCGAUACUGUCGUGACUCGAGUCCGGUAGGGGAGUGUGGAAUUCCCGGUGUAGCGGUGAAAUGCGCAGAGAUCGGGAGGAACACCCGUGGCGAAGGCGGGUCUCUGGGCAAUUCCUGACGCUGAGGCGCGAAAGCGUGGGGAGCAAACGGG